rnacentral:rRNA from 1 species
UACGUAGGGGGCUAGCGUUGUCCGGAAUUAUUGGGCGUAAAGAGCGUGUAGGCGGCCAGGUAGGUCUGGUGUGAAAACUCGAGGCUUAACCUCGAGACGUCGGUGGAAACCGUUUGGCUAGAGUCCGGAAGAGGAGAGUGGAAUUCCCGGUGUAGCGGUGAAAUGCGUAGAUAUCUGGAGGAACACCGGUGGCGAAGGCGGCAUCCUGGACCGAUACUGACGCUGAGGAGCGAAAGCCAGGGGAGCAAACGGG